rnacentral:rRNA from 1 species
CCCUUAGAUGUUCUGGGCCGCACGCGCGCUACACUGAUGCAUUCAACGAGUCUACAACCUGGUCUGAUAGGGCUGGGUAAUCUUUUGAAUGUGCAUCGUGAUUGGGAUAGAUGAUUGCAAUUUUUCAUCUUCAACGAGGAAUGCCUAGUAAACGCAAGUCAUCAGCUUGCAUUGAUUACGUCCCUGCCCUUUGUACACACCGCCCGUCGCUCCUACCGAUUGAAUGAUCCGAUGAAUAUCAUGGAUUGAGGAUGCAAGUAGGUUCGCCUAUCUUCAUCUUCGAGAAGUGAAGUAAAUCUUAUCAUUUAGAGGAAGGAGAAGUCGUAACA